rnacentral:rRNA from 1 species
UCGGGAAUCUUGGACAAUGGGCGCAAGCCUGAUCCAGCCAUGCCGCGUGAGUGAAGAAGGCCUUAGGGUUGUAAAACUCUUUCGCCGGAGAAGAUAAUGACGGUAUCCGGAGAAGAAGCCCCGGCUAACUUCGUGCCAGCAGCCGCGGUAAUACGAAGGGGGCUAGCGUUGUUCGGAAUUACUGGGCGUAAAGCGCACGUAGGCGGGUUUGUAAGUAGAGGGUGAAAUCCCAGGGCUCAACCCUGGAACUGCCUUCUAGACUGCAAGCCUGGAGGUCAGGAGAGGCGAGUGGAAUACCGAGUGUAGAGGUGAAAUUCGUAGAUAUUCGGUGGAACACCAGUGGCGAAGGCGACUCGCUGGACUGAUACUGACGCUGAGGUGCGAAAGCGUGGGGAGCAAACAGGAUUAGAUACCCCAGUAGUCCCUGAGCGGGCUGGCAAGGCGCAU